ACUACAAUAGCUAUUCAAAUCCUUGUGAGAGCUGAGCUCCUGUUUUCUGAUCUGUGAUAUCAAAGAUGUAUAAUUCUGGGAGCUCUUUGAUUCCGGCCUUGAGGUGUUUUCAGAACUGCUUGGAUUUUUCUGCGGAUGCUUUCCACUGGGUCAUGUCGCUUCUCAGUUGUCUUCUUUGCAGAGGCCAUUGCUGACCUUCCUCCUGAGACAGAUGAAGUGGUUAAGGUACAGGCAAAAAAAUUAGCAUUGUCGUAACAGUAAUUUAGCAACAUGUGAUUUAUUCCUAGGAAUUGAGAUAUAAGAUAUCUUUAAACAAUUGCUUUUUUAAAUGGAAGUAGUUUAUUUACAAUGUGGUCUUAGUUUCAGGUGUACAGCAAAGUGUCUUCAUUAUAAAUACAUUUAUAUAUUCUUUUCAGAUUCUUUUCCAUUUGAGGUUAUCACAAAAUGCUGAAUAUAGUUCCCUGUGUUAUACAGUAGGUCCUUGUUUAAAUAGACGUUUUAAACAAGUUUCCAUGUGAUUAACUUUGGCACUCAAACUUCUAGAAAACAAUCACAGCUAACAUAUAUAAAAUACUUCCCAAGGGCCAGCAUGGUACUAAGUUCUUUAGGUAUAUCAACUCAUUUCAUUCUCAAAAUAACUUGAUGACUAAGCAUUAUUCUUAGCUCCAUUUUCAGGCUCAGAGAGAAUAAAGGACAUACCCAAAGUCACCUUAGAUAAGUGCCAGAGUCCAGAUUUGAACCCAGGUGGUCCUGCUCCAGAAGCUGGACUCCUAACCACAUUGCUUUGCAUUUAUAUGUCAAAUAUGACGAUGGUGACAAUAAGAAAGCUCCCAUUUGAGUACCAUUCCAAUUUUCAUCUAUUGCAAGCUUAGUAUAUAUGCCCUUUAUUAAUCAUCCUAUAUAUACUGUGUCUAAAUUUCACACAAACCCUGUCAGAUAUGUAGAAAAUUCCCCCUUCUACAAAUGAUAAAACUGAGGCUUAAAGAGGUCAAUUAAUUUGCUAAUGGUCACAUCUCUAAAAUUUGUGCCAAAGAGUGUCUGACUCCAGCAUAAUUUUAUCUGAUGGCAGCAUAUGUGACCUUGAAAAAGAAAAAACAGGGAGUCCUCAUUGUAGCUCAGCCAUAAUGAACCUGACUA
rnacentral:lncRNA from 1 species